UACGAAGGGGGCUAGCGUUGUUCGGAUUUACUGGGCGUAAAGCGCACGUAGGCGGAUUGGUCAGUUAGGGGUGAAAUCCUGGAGCUCAACUCCAGAACUGCCUUUAAUACUGCCAAUCUCGAGUCCGGAAGAGGUGAGUGGAACUCCUAGUGUAGAGGUGGAAUUCGUAGAUAUUAGGAAGAACACCAGUGGCGAAGGCGGCUCACUGGUCCGGUACUGACGCUGAGGUGCGAAAGCGUGGGGAGCAAACAGG
rnacentral:rRNA from 1 species